rnacentral:rRNA from 1 species
UACAGAGACUGCAAGCGUUAUUCGGAUUCACUGGGCGUAAAGGGUGCGCAGGCGGCCGAGUGUGUGAGGCGUGAAAGCCCGGGGCUUAACCCCGGAAUUGCACCUCAAACUACACGGCUAGAGCAUUGGAGAGGGUAGCAGAAUUCAUGGUGUAGCAGUGAAAUGCGUAGAUAUCGUGAGGAAUACCAGAGGCGAAGGCGGCUACCUGGACAAUUGCUGACGCUCAGGCACGAAAGCGUGGGGAGCAAAAGGG